CAAAACCACCUCAGCAACUAUUUCGCUUUACUUCAAGGUGGUUUUCAAAUUGGUGGUGUAAAUAUAAAUUUGAAAACCACCUGGAAGUAAUGCGAAAACAAUGCCGAGGUGAAUUUGA
rnacentral:pre_miRNA from 1 species